UUGACCUCAAAUCAGGUAGGACUACCCGCUGAACUUAAGCAUAUCAAUAAGCGGAGGAAAAGAAACUAACAAGGAUUCCCCUAGUAACUGCGAGUGAAGCGGGAAAAGCUCAAAUUUAAAAUCUGGCAGUCUUUGGCUGUCCGAGUUGUAAUCUAGAGAAGUAUUAUCCGCGCUGGACCGUGUACAAGUCUCCUGGAAUGGAGCGUCAUAGAGGGUGAGAAUCCCGUCUUUGACACGGACUG
rnacentral:rRNA from 1 species